rnacentral:lncRNA from 1 species
CAGACAUGAAGGUAUGAGUCUUAGUCGUCUUAACCUCUUGAUCUUCACAUCUUUUUACCAGGAAAGCUAAGAAUUGUAUGAACUAGUAAUUAGGGACAGGCUUAUUUGCCGAGGGAUCGGGUUUAAGUGUUUUAGUGAGGGACGUUGGCAUUAAUGCAUAAAGAAGAAUUCUUAUAUACAUGAGAGGGAACUUGGUGAAAUCUAACCCCAACAACAUACUCAUCUCAUAUAAAUCAACAUUCAUUCAUCUUUG